rnacentral:pre_miRNA from 1 species
UAGGGUGACCAACCAUCCCAGUUUGCCUGGGACUUCCCUGGAUUUGGCACUGAAAAUCCUGCAUCCCGGGAAACCUGUCAGUCCCAGGCAAACUGGGACAGUUGGCUGCCCUAAGGUACU